rnacentral:rRNA from 1 species
CCUACGGGAGGCUGCAGUGGGGAAUAUUGGACAAUGGGCGAAAGCCUGAUCCAGCCAUGCCGCGUGUGUGAAGAAGGCCUUCGGGUUGUAAAGCACUUUCAGUGGGGAAGAAAGCCUUGGGGCUAAUACCCUCGAGGAAGGACAUCACCCACAGAAGAAGCACCGGCUAACUCCGUGCCAGCAGCCGCGGUAAUACGGAGGGUGCGAGCGUUAAUCGGAAUGUACUGGGCGUAAAGCGCGCGUAGGCGGUCUGAUAAGCCGGUUGUGAAAGCCCCGGGCUCAACCUGGGAACGGCAUCCGGAACUGUCAGGCUAGAGUGCAGGAGAGGAAGGUAGAAUUCCCGGUGUAGCGGUGAAAUGCGUAGAGAUCGGGAGGAAUACCAGUGGCGAAGGCGGCCUUCUGGACUGACACUGACGCUGAGGUGCGAAAGCGUGGGUAGCAAACAGGAUUAGAUACCCCGGUAGUC